rnacentral:rRNA from 1 species
UAACAAAAAUGUCCGCCAGAGAAUUACAGGGUGAAAACCUAAAACUCAAAAGACUUGAGGGUGUUCCAACCCUGCCUAGAGGAGCCUGUUCCAUAAUCGAUAACCCCCGAUCAACCCGACCACCUAUUGAAAUACUCAGCCUAUAUACCGCCGUCACCACGCCUACCCUUUGAAGGACACACAGUAGGCACAAUAGUUUCCAAACUAACAAGUCAGGUCAAGGUGUAGCUUAUUAGGUGGAGGAAAUGGGCUACAUUUUCUACGAUAGAUCAUCUACGGACUUCGCUCUGAAACCAAAACGAACAAAGGAGGAUUUAGCAGUAAGCCAAACAAGAGAGUUUGACUAAAUACUUAGCCCUGGAACAUGUACACACCGCCCGUCACCCUCCUCAACACUACCCCAACCUAUUUUUAAUAUAAACAACACAUACAAGAUGAGGCAAGUC